rnacentral:rRNA from 1 species
UACGUAGGGUGCAAGCGUUAAUCGGAAUUACUGGGCGUAAAGCGUGCGCAGGCGGUUUUGUAAGUCUGUCGUGAAAUCCCCCGGGCUCAACCUGGGAAUUGCGAUGGAGACUGCAAGGCUAGAAUCUGGCAGAGGGGGGGGUAGAAUUCCACGUGUAGCAGUGAAAUGCGUAGAGAUGUGGAGGAACACCGAUGGCGAAGGCAGCCCCCUGGGUCAAGACUGACGCUCAUGCACGAAAGCGUGGGGAGCAAACAGG